UACGUAGGGGGCAAGCGUUGUCCGGAUUUAUUGGGCGUAAAGAGCUCGUAGGCGGCUUGGCAAGUCGGGUGUGAAAACUUCAGGCUCAACCUGGAGCGGCCACUCGAUACUGCUAUGGCUUGAGUCCGGUAGGGGACCACGGAAUUCCUGGUGUAGCGGUGAAAUGCGCAGAUAUCAGGAGGAACACCAGUGGCGAAGGCGGUGGUCUGGGCCGGAACUGACGCUGAGGAGCGAAGGCGUGGGUAGCAAACAGG
rnacentral:rRNA from 1 species